GGGAAGGCCAGGGGACAGGAGUGCGACAGGCGGUUCUGAAGAGAGGCAAACAGCAGUGUGGAUAGGUGGGUCUGACCUACUGUGCUCUCCAGUUCAGCUGCUAGGAAGACUGACCUAUUGUGAUGUAUGUAAUAUAAGGACACUGAAAAUUCUUAUGCUUGAUGGAAAAACUUAAGGCUAGUCUAGAAGGGCCAAAGAUGUCCUUGUUGACAAAGCUGGUCUUUGUCAUGUAAUUAGCAUGUCCUGGACAUGUUCCAUUUCUAGUCGGGGCUGUAGAUGACUCUUGUACAGACUUCAGUGACCUAUGCUGAAAAUCCCUCCCUUAGGGUUAGCCUUUAGAAGGUAGAGUUGUGGAAAGCGGUUUUGUUUUCUUUAUUAGUGAUUGUUACCCUCUACUUUUCAUGAAAGCAUCUUCACAAACUGUUGGACACACUUGACGAGGAAAAAAAAAAUCCACAAGAUUGUUUUUGUUGUUUUAGCAAACUUUCUAUGGAUGCUGGUAAGUUAUACUUGGUUGUACUUUAGCAAAGAACUUCUUUGGGGACUGUAGGAAAGCAUGUUUUUGCCAUCAUAACACUUAAAAAAAAUUCCUGAGAAAUCUGGGUUUGUAUAAUGCCUGUUGAUCUUGCUCUCUAAAUUGGUUUAUUGUUAUUCACAAAUGCAAAUAGAUUUUUAAACUAUAGAUAGUUUUGGAAGAUACUAAUUCCUUUUUUAUUUUGGUUGAGAGUAAUCUGAGCAAAGCAAGUGUCCAUUAUUUAUUCUGACUCUUGAAGUCUGAAUACUAAGUGUGUAAGACUCACAUGAAAAUAAUAUAGCCAAUUUGUAGGUAAUCUUAUUCCUUUUUUUUUUUUAAAUGCACAUCUACCUCUUCCAGCUGUUUUAAGUUCUCUCAAGUCUGUGCCUAUGAAAUCUCAUCCAACUUUUGGUUAUUCAUGGGUUUAUGAUCCACAUUCUGGGUCACUUGGUCUUUUGCUGACAUUUUCAUACUAUUGCAGUCUCAUCCACACCAGCUGUCAAGCAUGGGUUCAAUGGGAAGAGGAGACUGAAACUAUUGUUCAAUAAUUUACUGGCAGUGGAAAUCUUUGGAUGUCACUGACCUCCUCCGUUCUUUAAGUUACUAUAGAUAAGAAAGCCAGCUACUACUUCAGGAUCCCUUCUAUGAGUGCAUCCCUUAGCAAAAGAAAACUGUCCAGCCACCAGCACCCUACUCAUGGUGCAUCUAAGAUGUGAUUCCAUUUUCCUUAUGAUUCUUCAGGGAGCAUAGCUGCAUUAAGUGAGGUUAAUUGCAUUCAGGAAGUUGUUUCUUAUAUUAGUCCUAGAAAAUUAGUAUUUCUAAAGCAAACCCUGGUAACUGUGGUUCACCCUUAAAAAUGUUCAUCUGAAGACUCCUUCUACCAACUCAUUCAUGAUGGUGGAGGCAAAUGUAUCAUUUGUUUCCUGGGGAGCUGGGUCAAGUGCAGGCUGCACUUUUCUGAGAACAGAGAGCAGGUUUAAAUAGGUUAAAUGGCUUGAUUAAAUAUUGAGCGCUGAGUUGGAAGGAGAAGAUAAGUUAACCCCUUGAGCCAUGUGGCCUCUUUAAGAUCCUGAGGCUAUACAUAUGUGAAGAAGUACAAAUUAAGAACCUGUGUUCAUAGACAAUCGGAACUGUGUUUCUGAAGUUUGUGCACAUUUUCCUUCACUGUAAUGUUAUUUUACAACUGUUUGUUAUAAUAGUGAAUAAUUUAAUGAUUUAAAAAUAACAGGUUUUGUGUGAGUGUGUGCUUGUAUAUGUGAGAAUUGCCUUAUUUUCAGGUUGUUUUAUUUAAAUGAUGGUUCCUUGGACAGCAUUCUGGUGUUCAGCAACCAGUGUGGAAUAUUUGUCAUUAAAUCCAGAUCAGUCUUUUACCAUGUCAGUCUUUCUUCUUUACCCAUUAAAUAGCACUUGUCACCCAUUAAAUAGCACUCAGUUCAAUCUAUGGAAGUUAUGCUCUGGUAGAACAACGGUCAGCAAGAUGCCAAAUCCAACCCUUCCCUUUGUGUGAAUAAAAUUUUACUGG
rnacentral:lncRNA from 1 species